AUUCCAGGCUCCAACACCAACACCACCUGGCGUUCACUGGGCACACACCAUCUUAGCAGAUCAGGGAAACAGAUUUCCUUCUAACAGGAACACCUUUCUCAUAUGUUAUCAUGAAGAGGAGCAGGACACACAGGAAAGCUGGCCUUGCCUCUUGCUGCUCACUCUAGCAAGAUAACUGGCCCAUGCACACAGGAGAGAGGGUUCUCACCCCUAACCACAGGAAAAGAUGAACCUAUCCUGAGGGCUGACUCUGCCACCUCACUCACGGUGUGUGGCCCCACUGGCUUGAUCUGAACUGAUUAGCUAACACCCAGGUCCACAACUGGUCAUUGGGGUGACCCACCCUAGAAUCUACCCACCUAUGUCCUGCUUGAGCUUGUGAAGGAACUUGUCCUGGAAAACGACACCCACAAGAUCUCCAAUACAUUGGAUACUCCAGACAAGCUCUGGUGAAGACCCAUUAAGGAUGGUGUACCAAAAACCAGAGGCCUUGAACCAGACCAAUGACUCAUUGUAAUGGACAGUUGUCAGUCAAGCUGAUGGGACAAAGGGAUAUGCUGUAGGGCACACUGAAGCCUUCAGUGCCAUCAUAACGGAUAAAGAGGUGGCAGAGGUUUUGCUGUUUCCAGUAUGGUUUUAAGUUCUGUUUUGUUUUGGUAUUUACUUUUCUUUGUUGUUCUGGCUUUUGUUUGCUUGCUUACUUACUUAGCUUUGUUUUCUUUCAUGGGGGCCAUGCAAGAAGAAUCAGAUUGGAAUAUGGAGUGACUGGGAGGUGAACAGAAUUGGGGUACAUGAUGUGAAACCCCCAAAUAUUCAAUAAAGAAGUUUAAAAAAUGAUUUAAGUAGGCCAUAAAGU